rnacentral:sRNA from 1 species
CAUCACCAUCAUCACCCUAUCUAGUCUUUCGGGGAGAUGUACGCAUACCCGGGAGGCAGAAGCUCCCGGAGGUGAAAUCUGCAAAACAAGAUUCAAACCCUCGGGAGACCAAAGUCUCCCGAGGGUUUUUU